UACCUAAAUGCACCGUUAAUGGAUCGGGA
rnacentral:sRNA from 1 species